rnacentral:rRNA from 1 species
UACGGAGGGUGCAAGCGUUAUCCGGAUUUACUGGGUUUAAAGGGUGCGUAGGUGGAUAGAUAAGUCAGCGGUGAAAUCUCCGGGCUUAACUCGGAAACUGCCAUUGAUACUAUCUGUCUUGAAUAUCCUGGAGGUGAGCGGAAUAUGUCAUGUAGCGGUGAAAUGCUUAGAUAUGACAUAGAACACCUAUUGCGAAGGCAGCUCACUACGGGAUUAUUGACACUGAGGCACGAAAGCGUGGGGAUCAAACAGG